UAACUUUCGCCACGCACGCUGACAGCUUGACCGUUUGUCACUGACUGUCAGCUAUCUGUUAUAACAACAUUUUCAAAGCUGUUUUUUCAAAAUCUUAUAUUUUCGACGGCUAAUUUCCACCCAAUAUUAAGAAAAAUAGCAUACGAAGAUUGCAAGCAUUAGGUGAGGAUAGGAACAUGGCUACAGAAGAUAUUUUACGUCCGGAGUUCAACUUUUAUUCGAAAUAUAAGUUAACGCAUUUUGAAAUUUGAUUCCUCCUGGAAAUUUCUAGCUGAUCUUUACAGGCAAGUAUAAGCAAGCAAAAGACACACUCAUAUAUUUUAUGUCUACAUUGGGAAUUUUCAAUGUUAACUACACUUUAUUUUAUCACUUCUUAUUACUAGGUGACAUAAGUUUCUACGCUACUUCUGUGAUUCUACACAAUUUCUACAGAAUCAAAACUGGCAGGUAUAAAAUAACAUUUAGAUCCAAUUUCCAAUAAGAGAGCAACAUGUUUUGUCAGAAAUGAAACAAAAAUAAAUUUAACUAUUAUUAAAUAUUUAAAUUUAAAUUAUACAACUAAAA